AACGAACGCUGGCGGCAUGCCUAACACAUGCAAGUCGAACGAGACCUUCGGGUCUAGUGGCGCACGGGUGCGUAACGCGUGGGAACCUGCCCUUAGGUUCGGAAUACCUCCCCGAAAGGGGUGCUAAUACCGGAUAAUGUCUUCGGACCAAAGAUUUAUCGCCUUUGGAUGGGCCUGCGUUGGAUUAGCUAGUUGGUAGGGUAAAAGCCUACCAAGGCGACGAUCCAUAGCUGGUCUGAGAGGAUGAUCAGCCACACUGGGACUGAGACACGGCCCAGACUCCUACGGAAGGCAGCAGUGGGGAAUAUUGGACAAGGGGCGAAAGCCUGAUCCAGCAAUGCCGCGUGAGUGAUGAAGGCCUUAGGGUUGUAAAGCUCUUUUACCCGGGAUGAUAAUGACAGUACCGGGAGAAUAAGCUCCGGCUAACUCCGUG
rnacentral:rRNA from 1 species